rnacentral:lncRNA from 1 species
AUCCAAUCGCCUGGGAGGGAAGGUGAGGGCCACCGAAGCCGCACCGUGGCGACGCUGGCGCGACACCCUUGAUCGAGGUGAGUCCAGAACGGGCGGGUGAAGAGGCGGAGGAGGAGGAGGAGGAGAAGCGACGAGCGAGAGGCGGAGGUAAGCGUUGGCCAUCUUAAGGCAGAGAGGAUGAGGAGCCGAAAGAGAAGCCGUUCUUCUUCUUCGUCGGCUUCUCCAAUCCCGGCCUCGGCCUCCUUUCCUCCCUCCGUGCUCUGGCUUCUCCAAUCCCCGCCUCAAUUG